GGCUGUUAGGAGAGGGGGCACCAAGGUGGUCAGGAGCUAUCCCACCCCUCUGUGCAAGGCUUUUCUUUUUUUUUUUUUUAUUUUUAGUCAGGAUUUAGGGAGCUUUUUAUGACAGCAAAAGUUCUCUGCCACCCAAAAAGCAAAGGGACCCACAUGCAAAAGCUUCCCUGACUCCAGGAAAGACUUGGAUUUAAAGGAAAACCAAGUACUUAAAGGUAUUAGAUGCUGUUUUCUGUGCCAGCCCUACCUGCCCUCGCAUUUCCGCAAACUCCACACACGGACACAGCAAAUCCAGCCCUGUCCUCUGGGUAAGGAAUGUGCUCACAUGCCUCUGUCUCUUCCAGACUUGCUCAUACUCACAGGAGCUCAUUUUAAUACUGAUUUACUGCUAAUCCUCUGGAUAAAUACCCAGCUCUGAUUUCCCAUUUGGCUCCCUCUGCCCUGCUAACAUUCCGCAGGCAUGCACCCAGCUGCCAGACUGGGAGUUGCUCCUUGGCACAGCUCUCGCUCUUUUUCCCCCCUGUAUUUUCUGUAGGAAUUGCUUGACCCGUCACGUUCCCAGAGCCUGUCAGCAGAGCUGUGAGAGGAUCCCUGCCAUCUCCAGAGCCUGUCAGCAGAGCUGUGAGAGGAUCCCUGCCAUCUCCAGAGCCUGUCAGCAGAGCUGUGAGAGGAUCCCUGCCAUCUCCAGAGCCUGUCAGCAGAGCUGUGAGAGGAUCCCUGCCGUCUCCGUACAUUUUUCACAUCCAGAGCCGACUCUGUAGGAGCCUCAGUUUCCCUGGGUUCCCCCUGCCCAGAGAUGUUCCUCACCCUUCUCACAGCGCCGGCCUCUCCAGCCACGGGGGCAGUCACAAGCGCCGGUGAUGUGGUGGCACGAGACACUGUCCCCACAGUCACAGAGCUCCUCACAGCGUGCCCCAAACCGCCCCUCUGGACAAGCUUCAGGGAUGAAAAUGGGAGAGAGGACAAGUUACACCCAAAAAAGGUGCCAUGGGAGCUUUUUGCCAGCAGUGUCUGUAGGCACACACCUCACUGUGUGCUCACACAGGCAGCUUGAAAUACAGCCUUGGACAAGGA